rnacentral:pre_miRNA from 1 species
CGUGCACCGGUGGGGUCCCUCAGCCUGGCCUGUGCCCUCUCGCAAUCCAGGUCCCCUUGGGGGAUGUCAAAGAGCCGGUUUCAGCCAGAUCCCGCAGGCCAGGCUGAGGGACCCCACUGCUGCACA